GUAAUUAAUAAAACAUAAGGCGCAAGAAAAUUAAAACUAUGCGUAUUCUCUAAAAUUAGGUCAUUCACACCCAAUUGUUGCUCCAACAUAAUUAGUUUUCCAUGUUUUUUUCUUAGUGAAUGCUCAAUUUCGUUUUGCCCUAAUCUCAUUGUUUUCCAUCGCAGCUUCAUCAAAUAACGAAGAAAUUACUACAUUAUAAUGUUUCCAUCCUAACAACUGAGGUACAUAAAAAGGCAGCACCUUGUAGACGUGACAGAGAUUUUUAAUCUGCUUAAUUGGGAAAAGAAAUAGAGACUUUUCAAACUAGGCUAUAUCAUCCUUCUCCUCUUUAUAUCAUUAUUUUGGUUGAUUUAUAGUGCUUGUGAUGAUGAUGAUGAGUCUCUAUAGGUUCUCUUGUCUGAGCCAAAAGCAUAUGUACCCGGAGCUGCUAUGUUUGCUCAUUUAUAUUAUCUUUGUUCUAGUUCCUUAUUCUUGAAAGUUUGGGGGCUAGAGAUAGCAGGUUUGAUUGCAGAUUCUGAACAUUUGACAGAAUGCCAAAACCAGAAGGGGCAUGGUAUCUUUGCAUCGGCACCAUAAAUUUAUUCAAUUUAUAACUUGCAUAUCUUACAAUAUGAGUCCAAUUUUCAGUUAAAAAAAAAACAAUAUGAGUCCAAUUUACUCAAGUCAAAGUCAGUAUCUCUUAGGAUCACGAGUUUAUUUUACACUUCCUUUGCCUACUACUAUACAAGUAAAAGAAUGUUCUCAAAAAACUUUUUAAGUCAACUUUUUUUUCCUGGAAUUUCUAAGUUUUCUGGAUGGACCGUUCCUCCACUUUUGUUUGCCAAAAUCCACUACAGGGUCCAGAGCUUCCAAUGCUUCAGGAAUGAAUGUCAGAUGCAGCCGAUAGAGAAAAAAUUGGUACUACGACUCCAAAAAAAUUGGUUCAUCCAUUCUCCAGUUCAAUGCCACCUCUGCCACAAUGUAGACAACUUUACUCUCUGCGUCCUUUCAUUUGGGGUCUUUUUCUUUCUUCUUUGGUGUCCUUCAUUUGGUCUCAACAUAGAUGGUACUCUUUUAUUGUCUUUCAAAUACUCUAUUCUUGAUGAUCCUUUAUCAGUUCUUGAUAAUUGGGAAUAUAAUGAUGCAACCCCGUGUUUGUGGAAUGGUGUCACUUAUGCACCAGACAUGAUAAUUCAAGUUCUUUCGCUAUCAAACAAUGAUGUUAAUGGAGUACUUCCAGAGUCUGUUGGGGGGGUUAAAGAGCCUAAAGGUUCUAAAUCUUUCUGUCAGUGCAUUUGUUGGAAAUCUGCCUUUGUUGGAAAUCUUCCACAAAAGAGUUCUUUGCAGAAUUUAGCAGUUGUUUCUUUAAGGAACAACCAUUUUUCUGGCAUAGUACCAAGUGGAUUUCAGUUUAUUGAAGUGUUGGAUCUUUCUUCCAACUUUUUGAAUGGAACAUUGCCUGCUGAGUUUGGUGGCGAUAGCUUGAAAUACUUAACCUCUUUUCAAACAAGCUUGUCUGGUUUAGUGUCAUCACAAUUUUCCAAGAAAAUACCACCAAAUGCUACAAUUGAUCUUUCUUUCAAUAGCCUCACAGCUGAAAUCCCAGAGUCAGUAGCCUUAUCAAACCAGAAAAUUUAGUUCUUUGCAGGAAACACUUACCUCUUUCAAUUAGAAGUGUUUGAAAACUCGAAAGCGAGGACUGAAUAAUGCUAUUAGAGUUUGGCAUAGGCUGACUCUACUUACUCAUUUAGAAUGCCUUUUUAAACUAUAAAUGAUGUAAUGUAUCUCAUCGCUUUUCUAAUUAGUUUUUUUUUUAAUUUAGUUGCAGCGUUCGUUGACUUUUGUGAUUCUGAAGAUUACUGAAGACAAGUCAAGAUGCAAGCUUUGGAGAUGCACAAACUCAUUAUUAUUUUGUUAUGUAUUCAAAUGUUAUGAAAAAUUGAUAUCAUACUCUAGCUCGACCGGUAUGAUAAAUUAUAGGUUUUUCGUGAGACAAAUAUUGAAAUUAAAUAAUAUCAUGGGAUGUUAACUAAGUUUUCUGGUCUCUAAUUAUAUUCUAUUUUUGUAUCGAGAUUCUUGAUAGCAAUGUGAUAUUUAUUUUAUGAAAUUUAUUAUUUUAUG